rnacentral:lncRNA from 1 species
CCGCCCCGUCGUCAUCCACGUACUGUGCCACUGCACCUCGGCUGUGCCGGCCCUCUUCAUCUGCUGCAGCACCUCCAUCCCAUCUCCCUCCCGGAUCCGGUGAGGAUCCACCGCGCAGUGCAUCAACAGCCGCCGUCGGGGCUGCUCUCGAUCUGGGAGGAGCAGCACCUCCCCACCAGAUCCGACGAGGGCCAUGGCGCCGUGCAGUUCGGAUGGGGUUCUCACCCCGUCCCACGCCGUCCACCGCAGGGGAGAAGGACGAGGAGCUCCACCACCGGCCCCUUUGCCCCCCAAGUAGUUUGCAGCGUGUGCGUGUGCAGGACGGUAGGCACGUCGAUGCAGUCCAUCCCCGGAUCCGACUGCAGAUGUCGGCCCCUCUGCACCUUGGUGCCCAGCGCGGGCACCGACCGCAGCCCCACCCCCGUGCCACCUCCCUCAGCCCGGAUCCACCAGCACCUCCCCCGCCCACGGUGCGCCAUGGUCGACGGCGUCGCCCCACGGGUCAGAGUGAUGCGGCCACCGAUGAUGCUCCGAGCCUCUUUCCCUCCCAGCCUCCUUAAUGCUCCCUCUCCCCCUUGAUUUGUCUACACCAGAGCAGCUGCGGGGUCAGUGCUCCAUCAGAUCGAGCGCUGAUGACCACGAGCAGUGAGAGGACCAGAGGAGGUGCUGCAGGGUCAUUUUCCUUUGUCGAUUCAGUGCAAUUUCUUUUUUUUUGCUGCAGUUUGAUUCAAAAAUUGUGUGCGGUUCAUUUUUUUGCUAUUUUUUGCAGGAAGAAAAGGACUGCAACCGCAUGCAGUACAUCACCCUGUGCGGGAUCCGUGCCAUGGUGAUUUUUUGAGUCAUAUUGCAUUUCACUUGCUUGAGCGAGCAGUUCGUCAGCCGCGUUCCGUGCAGUGCAUUGCCAUGUUUUUGCAGUGAGUUGGCAUGUCCUUUGCAGGGAAGCACCAUCUAUUUUUCCGUGCAGUGCAUUGGCAUCUUUUUGCAGUGCGUUCAUGUUCUUUCCCAGGAAGCACCAUCUAUUUGUGUGACAAGUUUGUGUUUUGUCUGUAUGUUUAGUGCACUACAGUUUAGGGCACCUCGUGCAAUUCAGAAACGUGGGCUUGCAGUGCAUUAGCUCAUCGUGUGACGAAGAAAACAAGUGUCUCGUAUGUUGAAUUUGGUGUCUUGUGUGUACUGUUUGUGUAAAAAGAAUGAUGUUUCAUUACCUCUCUGUAUGAAGAAGUGCAAUUUUUUCGUGUGUAUCAAAAUUUAGUCGAUUACAUCAACACCUGCAGUGCAUUUGUUCCUCGGAUGUGGUCCAGUUUUUAGAGUGAUGUUGUUCACUUGUGCCCAACAUGAAAGUGCUAAAAAAUUAGCGAAACAACAAAGAUAGUAAUGCGGUUCACUUCGAUAUAUGUCGCGGUUCAUUUGCUUUGUCUGUGCUGUCCACUCUCGUUCAUGAUUUUUUUGAAAAAAAGAUAACAAAAACUCGUAUGAGAAAAAUUUACAUCCGACAAAAGAAAUCAUGAAGUUCACUUGUCUGUCUGAUGAAGUGCGGUUUUUAGACUAAAGAAGUGCACUCCACCUCGUUUGGGAAAUUUACGUCCCACAAAAAAGAAAUCAUGUAGUGCACUUGUCUAUCCAAUGAAGUGCGGUUUUUAGUCUAAAUAAGUGCGUUUUUUUGUCUGGUGUAGUACGACUUGUUUACGGUAGUCUCGAGGUUCACUUUCAUAGUAUUGUGGUUCACCAACAUUCGACGUGAAGUGCACUCCACCUCGUUUAGGAAAAUUUACGUCCCACAAAAAUGAAAUCAUGCAGUGCACUUGUUUGUCCGAUGAAGUGCAGUUUUUAGUCUAAAAGAAGUGCGGUUUUCUGUCUGAUGCAGUACAUACGACGAUUUUGGUGUCGCGAAAAAACAGAUUAUCCGCAUUUCGUUAAAUAAAAAUUGCUCCUAAACCGUAAGGAAUCGGAGAGAGUGUUCUACAUGAAAAAGUUGCGCCUCAUCGAUAUCUUUUGAACGGCGUAUAAUUUGAAUCAUUUCGACCAGCGGUUUGUAAAAAAUUCGUGAAAAACGGCCGCUGCCUCUCGUCGUCAGCCACACGAUUUUCAAAAUUAACUAAAAACCGUAAAGAAUCUCAAAAACAUUUCAACAUAUGAAAGUUGCGCCUCGUUUGUAGCUUUCCAACGGCGUAUCAUACGCCUCAUUUCGUCAAACGGUUAGAAAACUGGAGCAAAAACAAUACCAAAAAUUUCAAGAAAAUUUAAAAAACAGAAUUCCGCGAUUUAGUAAAUUUGAAACUGCUCUUAAACCAUAACGAAUUAGAAAAAAAUAAUAGGUAUGAAAAAGAUGCUCCUCGACGAUAUCUUUGCAACGGUGUAUUGUUUGCUUCAUUCCGACAAGCGGUUUAGAAGAAAUCGCGAAAAAAUGCUCGCUGCCACUCGUCAUGGGCCGCACCAUUUUCAAAAUUGCUCUUAAAUCGUGUGGAAUCUCGAAAAGUGUUCAAAAUGUCGAAGUAGCGCCUAACCCAUAGCUUUUCAACGGUAUAUUACACGCCUCGUUUCGACUAACGGUUAAAAAACUAGAGAAAAAGGGUACCAAAAAAACACAGCGUGAAGUUUUUGCGACGGGAAGUUCACUCGUGUGAGUACCGCGGCACACUUGGUUCAAACAAUGAUGUGCACUUGCAUUUAGCGUGCAGUGCGGAAGUGUUAUCAAUUAGGCUUCAAGUGCAUACUUGUUGGUGAAAGUGUUGUCCAAUGGAAUUAUAUUUUGUAUUACUCAUGUAGCCUACAAAGUGUGUCGCACAGCCUUGUAAUUUCUUACUCCGUUUCUAAAUUUGUACUAGUCCUCUAUACCAUAUAUUGCACUACUUGUACUACUACCCCCUCCUGGUUUAUUGGUCCCCUUCCUAAUUUGUGUCAAAUUUUGACCAUAAAUUUCACUAACUAAAUGUUAAUGCAUGUCACAAAAAAUUAUAUCGUUUUAUUCGUAUUUGAACAUAGUUUCCAAUGGAAUAAUUUUCGGUGACAUGCAUUGACAUUUUGUUAGUUUAACCUAUGGUUAAAAUGUGACACUAAAUACGACUAGUAAGUAGUAUAGUAGCAGUACUAGUAUACGUCGGUCAAAUUAUUCAUCAUGUCCUGACAUUGAAUUGACGUGACAAUACGCUGCGAGUGAGGUGACACAAGAAUCCUGGCGGCGUGUUCGGGUAUUGUGGACUUCAGAUUUGGAGUACCACUUAUCUGUCGAAAUCUUUCAUCAUUCACUUAAAACAGUCAAUUGAUCAUACAUUGAGUACCAUAUAACUGGAAUUAACCGAUGCAAGUCCAAAAAGGAUUGGCCGGUGCUGCUGGCUGGCUUCAAGUUCGAUCCCACGGAUCAGGAGCUGAUCGAGCACCUUGAGGCCAAAGUGAGUGUUGACAGCACGAGAUCUCACCCUCUCAUCGAUUUGUUCAUAUCAACCAUCGACAGCGAGAACGGCAUAUGCUACACCCAUCCCGAGAAACUUCCAGGUAAGACACCGAUCGGCCGUCUACUUGCACAAACAUAUUCCUUUGUUUAUAGCUCUAUUUUUCUUUUUAGACGCAGACCUAGUGAAGCAAUUACAAUUUGACAGUUAAUAAAAAGUGAAACAAGUGACUGCAACAUGCCAAAGAUGUUAUGAAAAUGCCAACUACGUGCACUAAAACCUAUAUUCGACAAUACUGCAGGUAUCACACUGGGUGGCCUAAGCAAGCAUUUCUUCCAGCGCAAUUCUAGGGCAUUCAAAAGGGGCAUGUGGACGUGUCGCAAGAUACAGUCGGAGUGCGGCAUGCACGCGAUGUGGCAUAAGACCGGCAAUACCUUGCAGGUGAUGGUCAACGGCCGGCAGACGGGCAGCAAAAAGGUUCUGGUGCUGCACACCAACAAGAACUUCGACCAGCAGAGGACCAACUGGGUGAUGCACCAGUACCACCUCGGGGACUUAGAGCAAGAGAAGGCGUGGGAGCUGGUCCUCUGCAAGAUUUUCUUCCAGACGAACACUAGGGCCAGGACUAAAAAGAUUAUAAGUUAGUUUGGUAUUGGUACUUGUACUACCUUGUCGUCCGUAAGUUGGUAUUGUUGUUAACGAUCUUUCGGUAUGAACUUGGCAUUUGCUUCCAACCAUCAUGCCGAGGGUCGACGUGGAUAUAAAGCUGAAUCAUUUGUUUUGAAAUGAAUUUUCAGGCACCUGAUUUUUAUUUGAUGGGUAGCAUAAGCACCUGUCGUUCGAAUUCCCAAUUCUCCAAUUUCUUUGAAACAAGUGCAUGCACUUAUUAUCAUGAUGAAAAAACAAUAUACCCGCUGGAUCCCAGUUAUCAGUCUGGACUUGCAUAAUUCUCUCAUUUAUUGAGCAGGUAUAUUGUUUUUUUAGGUCGAGCAAGUUUCAACUGGGCUGUAGACUGCCCAGGCUUGGUUUUGUUUUUAACAGGCCCAGACCAUGACGACAACGGGGCACAAAGAUCCAGCAGGUAUCUACUGGCCUCUGGCCCACCAGCGUUAGUUAUAUUUUGUCAUAGAACAUCCGCAGACAGUUUUUUUUACUGAAUCAAACACACAACCCAGUUCUAUUUUCCUCUUGAAACGGCAUGUCCUAUUUCUGUUUUCUAAUCCCUACCUAUAGUUUUGCUAGUUCAUAUACACGUAUCAUUAUAUUGAAAAUACAUAAAGUUCCCUUUUCAUAUUUACAUCCUUAUUUUUGUUGUUGUUUUCCCACCCAAUGCUGUUUUUUACCACUGAUUUUCCCUUAAACCAACUCAAUUGUCCCACGUCUUAUUUGCUUACAAAAACAAAAUGAUUUCUUUUUGGCAAAUCAAUAAGUUCUUAAAAAAUAAAUGUUUAUCAUUUCGGGAUUACAAUAGUUCGGACUCCACCAAAAUAUGCAAAAUAAGGUUGAACUUUUUGACCAUGGUCCUGGAAGAAAAUGGGCUGUAACAAAUUAUUUAAGAAUUAGCAAAUGGGUUGCAAAUUAUUAAAAAAUAGCAAAUGGGGUCUAUGUUGUCUACCAUAGAUUUGGAGGCUGACUUGUGGGCCUACUAAUUUCAUGCGUACACAAGGUUUCUCAAAAAAGAAACUUAGUCAACAAUCGACUCUACCAGCAUCAGACCGUUAGAUGUCAAUCUAACGACAAUCGUGCUUCUUCAGUCUCUGAUCUUCCUACUCCAGCCGCCCAAACCAACGCCGGCGGAACCGCCUGCUCCCGUCUCCCGUGGCCGGCUGUGCCAGGCAGGCCUCACGGCCCCACCAUACUCACAUCCCUGGCCUGGCUAUCCCUCUAGUCACCCACACCUCCUGUUAUUUUUCGGCGACGGCAGCCGAACCAGUCAACCCUCGUACUCCCCACCGCGUGCGCAGCCACUGUCGUGUCUUCCCCGGCUCUGUGUCAUUCCCUUCGUAGGCCUCGCCGUCGUCCACCGCCCUGGUGCUCUCGGCGCGGCGUAGUCAACAUGGUCAACGAACGACAUCCAUCGGAAGUGGACUGUACGUGGAGAGGCUGACAGCUGGGUACACGGUAGCACACGAGGAAAUGCCUCCUUAUUACACGCAAAAUAAUGAUUCCUCCACCUGACAUCUGGGAUCCACUGGAAGGGCCUCUGUAUUUCGCGAAAAAUGUUCCCCCCGCUGACAGCUCGCACCCACCAGCUAUGUCUUUGCACGCAAGGAAGUGCCUCCUUAUUACGAAGAAAAAAUGAAUACUCCUCCUACUAGCUGGGACCCACCAUAUGGUAGGCUGACUUGUGGGCAUACUAAGUUGACGCGGACGGAGGGCUUUGUCCACUUAGUCAACAAACGAUUGUAUCACCACUAACUAUUGGAUUGUUAACAUCCAACGGUUGUCCUGCUUCUUCAACCUCUGAUUUUCUUGCUCCAGCCGUCCAAACCACCGCGUGCUCUUGCCUCCCAUGGCCGGCUGUGCUACCGCGGAGGCCUCACCGCCCCUACUACUCCCACCGCUGGCCAGGCCCUGCAGCGACGGCAGCCUCACACCAUAGCCGAACCAGUGAACCCUCGCAAUCCUCUUUGCGUGGGCAUCCACUGCCGCGUCUUCCCCGGCUCCACGUCGUCCCCUUCCUAGGCCUCGCCGUCGUCCACCGCCUUGGUGCCCUCGGCGCGGCAUGGUCAAUGUGGUCAAGGAACGACUUCCGUCGAAAGAGUACUGUACGUGGAGAGGCUGACAGCUGGGUCCACGGCCACGGCAAGGAAGUGCCUGAUAGUCCGGACCCACCAGCAACAUCUUCGCAUGCAAGGAAGUGCCUGACAGUCGGGACCCACCUGGUCGAACCGUACGUAGCGUUGUCAUUCUUGUUGCGAACGUGUACGUACAUACGAUCGGCCUGUCUGCAGGCUGCAGCGAUGAACUAUGGCCGUGUAAGGAAGGGCACGUGUCAUAGUAUAGGCGCGCCCUUGUCGUAGUAGAGGCGCGCAUGUAGCAUGUCACGCAGUCCCGUUAAUAUCGUGUACACGUAGGUAUAGCCAGGGUGCAAGAAAGUAAAUACAGCCACGUACAUACAUACAGGCGGGGUCUCGAACGCCUACUCACGCAUACGUACGGCCAGGGCACGUAUGCAUGGCUGGGUCUGAACAGAAAAACUGCGUCGUGUUCAUCGGGAGCCAACCGGCAUGGACGGAACAACCGAUCGAAACAUGGAUUGGCGUACCGUAGAACGGAGGAAACGGCCUUGUGUUUGAUCGGCCAUGGUCGAAACGGGAUCCUGUUGAUGUCGCUUGAAGCUACGUCGGUAUUUCCGCAAAGAGGAAUAGAUGAUGCAGCACAACGGCGGUAGGUAUUUCCCUCAGAUAUGAAACCAAGGUUAUCGAACCAGUAGGAGAACCAAGCAACACAACGUAAACAGCUCCUGCACAUAGAUAACAAAUCCUCGCAACCCGACGUAUUAAAGGGGUUGUCAAUCCCUUCCGGGGUACGGCGCCUGAAGAUAGGCAAACAGACAUGAGAUAAUUUUGUAGUAAAUUGAUAGAUCGAACGCCAAAUAAAAUUAGUAAGGAAAAAUUGCAGCAAGGUAUUUUUGUAUUUUUAGUUUCAUAGAUCUGAAAAUAAAUGCAAGGAAAAAGAGAUCGCAAAGGCAAAUAAUAUGAGAAAGAGACCCGGGGGCCGUAGGUUUCACUAGUGGCUUCUCUCGAGAAAAAUAGCAAACGGUGGGUGAACAAAUUACUGUUGGGCAAUUGAUAGAACUUCAAAUACUCAUGACGAUAUCCAGGCAAUGAUCAUUAUAUAGGCAUCAUGUCCAAGAUUAGUAGACCGACUCCUGCCUGCAUCUACUACUAUUACUCGACACAUCGACCGCUAUCCAGCAUGCAUCUAGUGUAUUAAGUUCAUGGAAAAAUGGAGUAAUGCAAUAAGAACGAUGACAUGAUGUAGACAAGAUCUAUAUAUGUAGAGAUAGACCCCAUCGUUUUAUCCUUAGUAGCAACAUACAUAUGUGUCGGUUCCCUUUCUGUCACUAGGAUCAAGCACCGUAAGAUCGAACCCACUACAGAGCACCUCUUCCCAUUGCAAGAUAAAUAGAUCAAGUUGGCCAAACAAAACCCAAAUAUCGGAGAAGAAAUAUGAGGCUAUAAGAGAUCAUGCAUAAAAGAUAUCAAAUAAACUCAAAUACUUUCAUGGAUAUAAAAAGAUAGAUCUGAUCAUAAACUCAAAGUUCAUCGAUCCCAACAAACACACCGCAAAAGAGUUACAUCAUAUGGAUCUCCAAGAGACCAUUGUAUUGAGAAUUCAGAGAGAGAGAGAUAGCCAUCUAGCUACUAACUACGGACCCGAAUGUCUACAAAGAACUAAUCACACAUCAUCGGAGAGGCACCAAUGGAGGUGGUGAACCCCAUCCGAGAUGGUGUCUAGAUUGGAUCUGGUGGCUCUGGACUCUGUGGCGGCUGGAUGAAUAUUUCGUCGAUGCCUUUGGGGUUCUGGAAAUAUUGGGGUAUUUAUAGAGCAAAGAUGCGGUCCAGGGGUCACCCGAGGUGGGCACAACCCACCAGGACGCGCUUGGGCCUCCUGGCGCACCCUGGUGGGUUGUGCCUCCCUCGGGGCACCCCCCAACCGAAGCCAGGGCCCGUUUUGUUCCUUUUGGACCGUAAAGUUCGAGGCAUUUGGACUCCGUCUGAUAUUGAUUUUCUGCGAUGUAAAAAACAUGGAAAAAACAGCAACUGGCACUUGGCACUAUGUCAAUAGGUUAGUACCAAAAAAGUGAUAUAAAAUGACUAUAAAAUGAUUAUAAAACAUCCAAGAUUGAUAAUAUAACAUCAUGGAACAAUCAAAAAUUAUAGAUAUGUUGGAGACGUAUCAGCAUCCCCAAGCUUAACUCCUACUCGUCCUCGAGUAGGGAAGUGAUAAAAAUAGAAUUUUUGAUGUGGAAUGCUGCCUAUCAUGUCAUAUCAUAUUUCUUUUCUUUAUAGCAUGGACAUUUGGACUUCUAUAUUGUUCAAAGCAAUAGUCUAGUUUUUACAUGAUAAUUUAAAUACUCAAGCAUGUCAGCAAGCAACCAUGUCUUUCAAAAUAUCGAUGCUAAAAUAAGUUAUCCCUAGCCCAUCAUGCUCAACCAUUGAUCCAUUCAUGAAACACACUCGAAUAUUAGUUACACCUAAAAGUUAAGUACGAUCAUAUUGCCUCCUAGUUGGUGCUUUUGUAAGAGAAGAUGGAGACUCAAAUUCAAAAAUAAAAAUUGCAUAAAGUAAAAGAAAGGCCCUCCGCAGAGGGAAGUAGGGAUUUGUAGAGGUUCCAGAGCUCAAAGCGAAAAACUUAGAGAUAAAAACAUUUUGGGCUGUAUCCAUCCCACCAAUGAAAACGACUUAGAGUUCCCAACACUUUCCAUGCUAGAUAUAUCAUAGGCAGUUCCCAAACAAAAAAUAAAUUUUAUUCCUUUUUCAACCAUACUUUCACUUUCCAUGGCUAGGCGUAUCCACGGUUUCCCUCCAUACCAACACUUUCCAAGGAAUUUAUUAUUUGACAACAUAAAGUAAAUUCAUUUUUCAUUUCAGGACUGGGCAUCCCUAAUACCUUUGCCUUACUCUCCUGCAAUGACAAGUGAAUAACCACUCAUCUUGAGAAUAACACAUCUAGCAUGGAAAAUAUUAGCCACCCCUCACCGCUCCGCGAGCGAAACAAACACACAAAAGAGAAGUUUAUUUUGAAAAUUAGAGAUGGCACAUACAAAUUUGCUUAGAACAGCAAAAGAAUACCACAUAUAGGUAGAUAUAGUGGAUUCAUGUGGCAAAACUGGUUUAAGGGUUUCUGGAUGCACAAGUAGAGAUCAUACUUAGUGCAAAAUGAAGGCUAGCAAAAGAUUGAGAAGCGACCAACCAAGAAACAAAUUAUCUCAUGAGAAAGCAUUAAGCAUAAAUAACACCGAAUAAUGCACCACAAGUAGGAUAUAAUUUGAUUGCAUGACUAUUGACUUUCGUACUUGCAUAGGGAAUCACAAUCCUUAACACCAAUAUUCUUACUAAAGCAUAAUUACUCAUCAACAUAACUCACAUAUCACAUCAUCAUAUCUCAAAACUAUUACUAAGAAUCAAGUUUAUUUUGUCCAAUGAUCUUCAUGAUUUUUUUAUUAUAUCCUUCUUGAAUAUCUAUCACUUUGGGACUAAUUUUCAUGUGUUGCUUUUGACAAGCUCCCACAAAUAUAAGUGAAGAUCAUGAGCAUAAUAUUUUUCUUUCUUUCUCUCAAGUUAAUUUAAGUGAAGAAAGAGAGAAUUUCUUAAAAAUUUACUAACUCUCAAAUAAAUCUAAGUGAAGCAAGAGAGCAUUUCUUCAAAAAUACUAAGCACACCAUGCUCAAAAAGAUAUAAGUGAAGCACUAGAGCAAGUCCAUUGCUCAAAAAAAUUUAAGUGAAGCAUAGAGAGCAAUUCUAACAAGUCAUGACAUAAUUUUGGCUCUCUCAAAUAGGUGUGUCCAGCAAGGGAUAAAGACUUAAAACACAAAAUAAAACAAGAAAAGACUCAUAUCAUACAAGACGCUCCAAGCAAAACACAUAUUAUGUGACGGAAUAUAGCUUCGAGUAAAAUACCGAUGGUCGUUAGAAGAAAGAGGGGAUGCCACUCGGGGGCAUCCCCAAGCUUAGUUGGUUGCUCAUCUUUGGAUAAUAGCUUGGGAUGCCGUGGCAUCCCCAAGCUUAGGCUCUUCUAUCCUUUAUUCCUUCAUCCAUUGUAAGAUAACCCAAAACUUAAAAACUUCAAUCACACAAAACUCAACAAAACCUUUAUGAGAUCCGUUAGUGUAAGAAAGCAAAUCACUACUAUAAGUACUAUACCAAACCAAUUCAUAUUUUGUUUUUGUAUUAUAUCUAUUGUAUUCCAACUUUUCUAUGAAAAAACUCAUCAAAGAAAACCAUAGAGCCAUCAAAAUAAGCACACAACGCAAAUAAAACAGAAUUUGUCAAAACAUAACAGUCUGUAGCAAUCUGACUAUUUCGAAAACUUCUGGAACUCCAAAAAUUCUGAAAAAUUAGGAUGACCUGAGCGAUUUGUAUAUUGAUCUACUACAAUUGGAAUUGGCAUUUUAUCACGCUCUGGUAAAAAAUGAGAAUUGUCUUCGUCAGCGCAAAAGUUUCAGUUUUUCAGCAAGAUUAAACAACUAUCACCCAAGAAGAUCCUAAAGGUUUUACUUGGCACAAACACUAAAUUAAACACAAAAAACACAAUCAUAACAGUAGAAUAAUUGUGCUAACACUCAAGAACAGAAAGCAAAAAGCAAAAAUAAAUUUUGUUCAUUGGGUUGCCUCCCAACAAGCGCUAUAGUUUUACGCCCUUAGCUAGGCAUAAAGCAAGGAUCUAAGUUUUAUCCUCCAAAGUUUUGGCAACUUUUGUAAGGGUUUUCUCAAACCCGGGAGGCUCUUUACGCUUUCCCGAAUUCUCCGAAAAUAAACCAUCUUUAGAUCCAAAAUAUCCAAUCGCUUGUUGCAAAGAGUAAUCAAGGUAUUCAUGCGAUUGAUACUAGCAUUGAGGUGUUUGAGGGGUUCAUUAUAUUUCUGUAUUUCAGCCAUAUGCUUAUGUAAAUCACCAACUUUGUCCAACAUUUGAACUCCCUCAGGGGUGAAAGAAAACCCCUUCUUUUGAGGUGGAACCCCCAAAAUUCCUUCUAAAAUUUCAUAGGCAGCAUUGGCAUCAAGCUCAAUAAAAUUCCCUUUAGCGGGCAAAUUCUAGGACUUGUCUAUGAUGCAAAGCCAAUCCUAUGAAAAAAUUACGAAGCAAAACUUUAGCGUCCCCCUUUAAAUUGGAAAUACGAUAAGAUUCCAUAAGCCUAUACCAGGCAUGCUUCAAAUUUUCUCCUUGUCUUUGCUUGAAGUAAAGAACCUCAAAAUCUGGUGACAAAGGAGGAGUAGGAACGCUAGCCAUCAGGACCGAAGAGCCAGAAAACGGCGAAUGAAAAAGAGAGGUGAAUAAAGCAGCGAAUUUUUGUGAAAUGGGGAAGAGGAAAACGAGAGGCAAAUGGCAAAUAAUGUAAAUUGCGAGGAGACGAGAUUUGUGAUUAGGAACCUGGUAUAUGUUGAAGAUCCUCCCCGGCAACGACGCCAGAAAUUCCUUUUGAUGUCGCUUGAAGCUACGUCGGUAUUUCCCCAAAGAGGAAGGGAUGAUGCAGCACAGCGGCGGUAGGUAUUUCCCUCAGAUAUGAAACAAGGUUAUCGAACCAGUAGGAGAACCAAGCAACACAACGUAAACAGCUCCUGCACACAUCCUCGCAACCCGACGUGUUAAAGGGGUUGUCAAUCCCUUCCAGGGUACGGCAUCUGAAGAUAGGCAAACGGGCGUGAGAUAAUUUUGUAGUAAAUUGAUAGAUCGAACGCCAAAUAAAAUAAAUAAGGAAAAAUUGCAGCAAGGUAUUUUUGUAGUUUUAGUUUAAUAGAUGUAGAAAUAAAUGCAAGGAAAAAGAGAUCGCAAAGGCAAAUAAUAUGAGAAAGAGAUCCGGGGGCCGUAGGUUUCACUAGUGGCUUCUCUCGAGAAAAAUAGCAAAUGGUGGGUGAACAAAUUACUGUCGGGCAAUUGAUAGAACUUCAAAUACUCAUGACAAUAUCCAGGCAAUUAUAAUUAUAUAGGCAUCACGUCCAAGAUUAGUAGACUGGCUCCUGCCUACAUCUACUACUAUUACUCCACACAUCGACCGCUAUCCAGCAUGCAUCUAGUGUAUUAAGUUCAUGGUAAAAUGGAGUAAUGCAAUAAGAACGAUGACAUGAUGUAGACAAGAUCUAUAUAUGUAGAGAUAGACCCCAUUGUUUUAUCCUUUGUAGCAAUGAUACAUACGUGUCGGUUACCUUUCUGUCACUGGGAUCAAGCACCGUAAGAUCGAACCAACUACAAAGCACCUCUUCCCAUUGCAAGAUAAAUAGAUCAAGUUGGCCAAACAAAACCCAAAUAUCGGAGAAGAAAUACGAGG